rfam:Ricinus communis cultivar Hale ctg_1100012326993, whole genome shotgun sequence.
AUGGAAGUGAUGAUUAUUUCCCCAGAUGAUCGACGCUGAACAAAC